UAGAAGGAAUGAAAUUGGAAAGAAGGGCC
rnacentral:piRNA from 2 species